CCCUUAGAUGUUCUGGGCUGCACGCGUGCUACACUGAUUAUUUCAACAAGUGUUUUAACUGGAGAGUUCGCGUAAUCCUGAAAUGUUAUCGUGGUGGGAGUAGAGUAUUGUAUUUGUUAAUCUUUAACGAGGAAUUCCUAGUAAGUGUAGGUUUAUAAGUUGUUCUGAUUACGUCCCUGCCCUUUGUACACACCGCCCGUCGCUCCUACCGAUUGAUUGAUCCGGUGAAUUACAUAGAAUUUUGAGUUUUACAUGACGGAAGACGAAGUGUUUUAAACCUUAUCAUUUAGAGGAAGGAGAAGUCGUAACA
rnacentral:rRNA from 1 species